rnacentral:hammerhead_ribozyme from 1 species
AUUCAGCCGACGAGUCCUGAACAGGACGAAAUGCACGUCAUAGAU